rnacentral:rRNA from 1 species
GGAUGUGGCGUUGCCCAGACAACUAGGAUGUUGGCUUAGAAGCAGCCAUCAUUUAAAGAGUGCGUAAUAGCUCACUAGUCGAGUGACACUGCGCCGAAAAUGUACCGGGGCUAAACAUAUUACCGAAGCUGUGGAUUGUCCUUUGGACAAUGGUAGGAGAGCGUUCUAAGGGCGUUGAAGCAUGAUCGUAAGGACAUGUGGAGCGCUUAGAAGUGAGAAUGCCGGUGUGAGUAGCGAAAGACGGGUGAGAAUCCCGUCCACCGAUUGACUAAGGUUUCCAGAGGAAGGCUCGUCCGCUCUGGGUUAGUCGGGUCCUAAGCUGAGGCCGACAGGCGUAGGCGAUGGAUAACAGGUUGAUAUUCCUGUACCACCUAUAAUCGUUUUAAUCGAUGGGGGGACGCAGUAGGAUAGGCGAAGCGUGCGAUUGGAUUGCACGUCUAAGCAGUAAGGCUGAGUAUUAGGCAAAUCCGGUACUCGUUAAGGCUGAGCUGUGAUGGGGAGAAGACAUUG